rnacentral:rRNA from 1 species
AGUGAACGCUGGCGGUAUGCCUAACACAUGCAAGUCGAACGACAGCACGAUAAGCUCUCGCCCCUACCGUUGGCGACUGGCGGACGGGUGAGGCGUACAUCACCUACUACUUUUUCUUGGAUGACUACGUAAAAACACUGCCACUACUACCGCAUACAUCCUACCGCAUAAAGCAAUAGAGCUUCACACCUUUCCCGACUCUAUUAGCCGGUGUCGCAUUAGCUAGUUGGCGGGGUAAGGUCCCACCAAGGCGACGAUGCGUAGCUGAUCUGAGCGGAUGAUCGGCCACACUGGAACUGAGACACGGUCCAGACUCCUACGGGAGGCAGCAGUGGGGAAUCUUGGGCAAUGGGCGCAAGCCUGACGGAGCAAUGCCGCGUGGGUGAUGAAGGUCUUCGGGUCGUAAAGCUCUGUUGUUGGGGAAGAAAAGAUGUGGGUGAAUCCAUGGACGUCUUGACGGUACCUAAAGAAAAAGCCACGGCUAACUUCGUG